CGGGGCAUAGCGCAGUUUGGUAGCGCACCUGCCUUGGGAGCAGGGGGUCGCAGGUUCGAGUCCUGCUGCUCCGACCA
rnacentral:tRNA from 1 species